rnacentral:rRNA from 1 species
GACGAACGCUGGCGGCGUGCUUAACACAUGCAAGUCGAACGGAAAGGCCCUGCUUUUGUGGGGUGCUCGAGUGGCGAACGGGUGAGUAACACGUGAGUAACCUGCCCUUGACUUUGGGAUAACUUCAGGAAACUGGGGCUAAUACCGGAUAGGAGCUCCUGCUGCAUGGUGGGGGUUGGAAAGUUUCGGCGGUUGGGGAUGGACUCGCGGCUUAUCAGCUUGUUGGUGGGGUAGUGGCUUACCAAGGUUUUGACGGGUAGCCGGCCUGAGAGGGUGACCGGCCGCAUUGGGACUGAGAUACGGCCCAGACUCCUACGGGAGGGAGCAGUGGGGAAUAUUGCACAAUGGGCGGAAGCCUGAUGCAGCAACGCCGCGUGCGGGAUGACGGCCUUCGGGUUGUAAACCGAUUUCGCCUGUGACGAAGCGUGAGUGACGGUAAUGGGUAAAGAAGCACCGGCUAACUACGUG